CAACUAGUGCUUCACCUUUUGAAGUAGUAGGUACUUCAGAUGUCUUUUGCAUUUUUCUUUGUGAAGAUCUAGUUUUCGCUAUAGCUGCAUUCGGUUUCGGUGUUUCAAUUUUUGCUUCCUCUUUUGGCUCGUUGUCCGGAGUUGUAGGUACUUCAGAUAUCUUUUGCCUUUUUCUCUGUGAAGAUCUAGUUUUCGCUAUAGCUGCCUUUGGUUUCAGUGAUUCAAUUUUUGCUUCCUCUUUUGGCUCGUUGUCCGGAGUUGUAGGUACUUCAGAUAUCUUUUGCCUUUUUCUCUGUGAAGAUCUAGUUUUCGCUAUAGCUGCCUUUGGUUUCAGAGUUUCAAUUUUUGCUUCCUCUUUUGGCUUGGAGUCCGAAGUUGUAGGUACUUCAGAUAUCUUUUGCAUUUUUCUCUGUGAAGAUCUAGUUUUCGCUAUAGCUGCCUUUGGUUUCAGUGAUUCAAUUUUUGCUUCCUCUUUUGGCUCGUUGUCCGGAGUUGUAGGUACUUCAGAUAUCUUUUGCCUUUUUCUCUGUGAAGAUCUAGUUUUCGCUAUAGCUGCCUUUGGUUUCAGUGAUUCAAUUUUUGCUUCCUCUUUUGGCUGGGAGUCCGGAGUUGUAGGUACUUCAGACAUCUUUUCCAUUUUUCUCUGUGAAGAUCUAGUUUUCGCUAUAGCUGCCUUUGGUUUCAGUGAUUCAAUUUUUGCUUCCUCUUUUGGCUCAGAGUCUGGAGUUGUAGGUACUUCAGAUAUCUUUUGCAUUUUCUUCUGAGAAGACCUAGUUUUCCUUAUAGUUGUCUCUAGUUUCAGUGUUUCAACUUUUGCUUCCUCUUUGGACU
rnacentral:lncRNA from 1 species